AUUGAACGCUGGCGGCAGGCCUAACACAUGCAAGUCGAGCGAGCGGCGGACGCGUUUGUAAUGUUUGGGGACUGCCCGAUAGAGGGGGAUAACUUCUGGAAACGGUUGCUAAUACCCCCUACUGUCUGAUAAACCUUAUGGGAUUGGCUAGUUGGUAAGGUAAUGGCUUACCUAGGCGACGAUCCCUAGCUGGUCUGAGAGGAUGAUCAGCCACACUGGGACGGAGACACGGCCCAGACUCCUACGGAGGCAGCAGUGGGGAAUAUUGCACAAUGGGCGCAAGCCUGAUGCAGCCAUGCCGCGUGUAUGAAGAAGGCCCUAGGGUUGUAAAGUACUUUCAGUCGGGAGGCGUUACCGACAGAAGAAGCACCGGCUAACUCCGUGCCAGCAGCCGCGGUAAUAG
rnacentral:rRNA from 1 species